rnacentral:rRNA from 1 species
GAGUUCGAUCAUGGCUCAGAACGUACGCUGGCGGCACGCCUAAUACAUGCAAGUCGAACGAAGUAGCAAUACUUAGUGGCAGACGGGUGAGUAACAUGUAGGUAUCUUCCCAUUGGUGAGGAAUAACACGAGGAAACUUGUGCUAAUACCUCAUAAGUCUUUACGGAGAAAGCUUUAUGCGCCGAUGGAUGAGCCUGCACUUGAUUAGUUUGUUGGUAGGGUAAUGGCCUACCAAGACAAUGAUCAAUAGCUGAUUUGAGAGGAUGAUCAGCCACAUUGGGACUGAGACACGGCCCAAACUCCUACGGGAGGCAGCAGUAGGGAAUCUUGCACAAUGGGGGAAACCCUGAUGCAGCGAUGCCGCGUGAGUGAAGAAGGCCUUUGGGUUGUAAAGCUCUUUCGUCGGGGAAGAAAAUGACUGUACCCGAAUAAGAAGGUCCGGCUAACUUCGUGCCAGCAGCCGCGGUAAUACGAAGGGACCUAGCGUAGUCGGAUUACUGGGCUUAAAGAGUUCGUAGGCGGUUAAAAAAGUUGGUGGUGAAAUCCCAGAGCUUAACUCUGGAACUGCCAUCAAAACUUUUUAGCUAGAGUAUGAUAGAGGAAAGCAGAAUUUCUAGUGUAGAGGUGAAAUUCGUAGAUAUUAGAAAGAAUACCAAUUGCGAAGGCAGCUUUCUGGAUCAUUACUGACGCUGAGGAACGAAAGCAUGGGUAGCGAAGAGGAUUAGAUACCCUCGUAGUCCAUGCCGUAAACGAUGUGUGUUAGACGUUGGAAAUUUAUUUUCUGUGUCGCAGCGAAAGCAAUAAACACACCGCCUGGGGAGUACGACCGCAAGGUUAAAACUCAAAUGAAUUGACGGGGACCCGCACAAGUAGUGGAGCAUGUGGUUUAAUUCGAAGAUACGCGCAGAACCUUACCAACACUUGACAUGUUCGUCGCGACUUUAAGAGAUUAAAGUUUUCGGUUCGGCCGGACGAAACACAGGUGCUGCAUGGCUGUCGUCAGCUCGUGUCGUGAGAUGUUGGGUUAAGUCCCGCAACGAGCGCAACCCUUACUUUUAGUUGCCAUCAUUUAGUUGGGCACUCUGAAAGAGCUGCCAGUGAUAAGCUGGAGGAAGGUGGGGAUGACGUCAAGUCCUCAUGGCCCUUACGUGUUGGGCUACACACGUGCUACAAUGGCAUUUACAAUAGGAAGCAAAACGGCGACGUUAAGCAAAUCCUAAAAAAAUGCCUCAGUUCGGAUUGUACUCUGCAACUCGAGUACAUGAAGCUGGAAUUACUAGUAAUCGCGGAUCAGCGCGCCGCGGUGAAUACGUUCCCGGGUCUUGUACACACCGCCCGUCA